UACGGAGGGUGCAAGCGUUAUCCGGAUUUACUGGGUUUAAAGGGUGCGUAGGUGGGUCUGUAAGUCAGUGGUGAAAUCUCCGGGCUUAACCCGGAAACUGCCAUUGAUACUAUAGAUCUUGAAUAUCCUGGAGGUGAGCGGAAUAUGUCAUGUAGCGGUGAAAUGCUUAGAUAUGACAUAGAACACCCAUUGCGAAGGCAGCUCACUACGGGAAUAUUGACACUGAGGCACGAAAGCGUGGGGAUCAAACAGG
rnacentral:rRNA from 1 species